rnacentral:misc_RNA from 1 species
CAUAAUGGCAUGUAAUAUAGUCAAAUAUUCCAUUCUAAUACAGUGAAAUAUUUGACUAUACCCUUCCAAAUGUAGUCUAAAGUGAUGAAUCCAAUCAUCUACAGAAUGUACUUGAAUUGUUCAGUACAAAGUGAAAAAGGAGAAAUAACUAAUCAGCAGCUUUUAGAUGAUGAGCAACAUAGCCCAUACUAAACAUAAAAAUAAAUUAAGAGGAUAGCCUGAUUUUGAAUAAAUGAUGCCUGUAACAAUACAUAAAAUCUUACCAGCCAAGCACAAUGAGAACAGCAUUUUAACUUGUAUAAUUCGGAAGUAGAUCUUGCAUUGGAACAAUCAAGAACGAGGAGCUGCUAGUUGCUGCUUCUUUAUCCUCUCCCCAUGUUUUACCAUACUGAUAUCAUGAGGGGUGAUAAAUAUCCAUUGGGAUCCUUGUGCCAAUGCAAAGUCCACUAAAGUAUCUAAGCUUAUCUUCCGGCUAACUGCAUCCAUAAAUACAUCAAACUCAUCCAUUGCUCGGAAUGGAGAUUCUGUCAUCUCAUGAAGAGCUAAUGCAAAGCACAGCGUUGAAAAAGAGCGUUCACCACCUGAAAGCCCUCUAGUGUCGUGGACGGUGCUGCUUGAUGCAUCUUGGGGCAUCUUUACCUCUACUCUAAGGGCUUUUCCUUCAUAAUCAACUUUGAUAUUCCCGCUAAUCCCUUUCUUUCCUAAAUGACCAUUAAAAUUCCAAGUCAGCUGCCGCUUCAGAAGAGCACUGUUCCUCUGAAACUUGUUCCGACGCAAAUCUAGGGCUUCCUGACAAGCCUUCAACUUUUCUCGAAACCCUUGGUACAUUUGUUGUUUUCUUAAUAUUUUACGCUGUUUUUUCUCAUACAACAUUCUCAGGUCAUCAAUAGAGUCAGAGUACAACUGGCUCUCAUGCUGUAGUCUCUGACUCAAUCUAUAUAAUUUGGCACUGAGUUGCUCUGGGGUGCUCCCAUCCCAACCUCCUAAAGCUUCAAUAUCAGUUUCAGGACAGAUAAUAGAAGCCUUUCUGGAACUCUCCUUUCGGUUCUCUUCAAGCUCUUGAUAAUGUGCCUCUGCCGCUUUGAUAUCAGGAAGGACCUUGUUAGUCAUUAUAUUUUCAUAAUGGGCCUUCUCCGCUUCUGCAGCUUGUAAAUCUUUUUCAAUCUUCAUUAGCUCACCCUCUGCUUCUUCAAAUGCAUCAAGUUCUUCUUUUGCUGACUCACAUAAAUUCUCAAAUGAUAACUUGAGGUCCAGAGCCUUUGCCUCAGCUUCAUCCCUUCUGACUCGAAGCGUCUCCAGAAAAUUUUUUCUUUCUUG